CGUAGGAGUUCGGGCGAAGCCUUCCAGCAGUCGAGAUCGGGGAUGAAAUCCGGCUCCCGUAGGAGUUCGGGCGAAGCCUUCCAGCAGUCGGAGUUGUGGGUGAAGUCCGGCCCCCGUAGGAGUCUGGACGAAGUUUACCUAUAAGUGAAGUCGUGGGCGGAGCCUGGCUCCCGUAGGAGUCCGGACGAAGUCCACCUGCAGCUGGAGUCGGGGACGAAGUCCGGCUCCCGUAGGAGUCCGGAUGAAAUCUGGUAGUUGUAGGAAUCUAUCGUUGGUGAAGUUCAGCCGUUGACGAAGUCCGAGGU
rnacentral:lncRNA from 1 species